CGUUUAAUUCGAUGAUACGCGAGGAACCUUACCAGGGCUUAAAUGC
rnacentral:rRNA from 1 species